GAAAUACACAGCCAUGUUGCUCACACGAAGCCUGUUUGUUGGUCUCUUCACACAGACGCGCAUGAAAUUUGGUGCUGUGACUCGGAUUGGGGGACCUCCCUUGGGAGAUCAAUCCCCUGUACUCCUGUUCUUUGCUCCGUGAGAAAGAUCCACCUAUGAUCUCAGGUCCUCAGACCGACCAGCCCAAGGAACAUCUCACCAAUUUUAAAUCAGGUAAGCGGCCUCUUCUUACUCUCUUCUCCAACCUCUCUCACUGUCCCUCAACCACUUUCUCCUUUCCACUCUUCAAUCUCUCCCUUCUCUUAAUUUCAAUUCCUUUCAUUUUCUGGUAGAGACAAAGGAGACACGUUUUAUCCGUGGACCCAAAACUCCGGCGCCAGUCACGGACUGGGAAGGCAGCCUUCCCUUGGUGUUUAAUCAGUGCAGGGACGCCUCUCUGAUUAUACACCCACGUUUCAAGGGUGUCAGACCACGCAGGGACGCCUGCCUUGGUCCUUCAACCUCAGCGGCAAGUCCCGCUUUUCUGGGGUAGGGGCAAGUAGCUCAACCCCUUCUCUCCUUGUCUCUACCCCUUCUCUGCUUUUCUGGGAGAGGGGCAAGUACCCCUCAACCCCUUCUCCUUCACCCUUAGCGGCAAGUCCCGCUUUCCUAGGGGGCAAGAAGCCCCCAAUAGCUUAUUUCCGCACCCCAACCUCUUAUCUCUGUGCCCCAAUCCCUUAUUUCCGCACCCUGACCUCUUAUCUCUGUGCCCCAAUCCCUUAUUUCCGUGCCCCAACUCCUUCUCUGCUUUUCUGGAGGGCAAGAACCCCCCACCCCUUCUCCGUGUCUCUACUCUUCUCUGGGCUUGCCUCCUUCACUAUGGGUAAGCUUCCACCUUCCAUUCCUCCUUCUUCUCCCUUAGCCUGUGUUCUCAAAAACUUAAAACCUCUUCAACUCACACCUGACCUAAAACCUAAAUGCCUUAUUUUCUUCUGCAAUGCCGCUUGACCCCAAUACAAACUCGACAGUAGUUCCAAAUAGCCAGAAAAUGGCACUUUGAAUUUUUCCAUCCUGCAAAAUCUAAAUAAUUCUUGUCAUAAAAUAGGCAAACGAUCUGAGGUGCCUGACGUCCAGGCAUUCUUUUACACAUCAGUCCCGUCCUAGUCUCUGUGCCCAGUGCAACUCGUCCCAAAUCUUCCUUCUUUCCCUCCCGCCUGUCCCCUCAGUACCAACCCCAAGCGUCGCUGAAUCUUUCUAAUCUUCCUUUUCUACAGACCCACCUGACCUCUCCCUUCCUCCCAGGCUGCUCCUCGCCAGGCCGAGCUAGGUCCCAAUUCUUCCUCAGCCUCUGCUCCUCCACCCUAUAAUCCUUUUAUCACCUCCCCUCCUCACACCUGGUCCGGCUUACAGUUUCGUUCCGUGACUAGCCCUCCCCCACCUGCCCAGCAAUUUACUCUUAAAAAGGUGGCUGGAGCUAAAGGCAUAGUCAAGGUUAAUGCUCCUUUCUCUUUAUCCCAAAUCAGAAGCGUUUAGGCUCUUUUUCAUCAAAUAUAAAAAUCCAGCCCAGUUCAUGGCUCGUUCGGCAGCAACCCUGAGACACUUUACAGCCCUAGACCCUAAAAGGUCAAAAGGCCGUCUUAUUCUCAAAAUACAUUUUAUUACCCAAUCUGCUCCCAACAUUAAAUAAAACUCCAAAAAUUAAAUUCCGGCCCUCAAACCCCACAACAGGAUUUAAUUAACCUCGCCUUCAAGGUGUACCAUAAUAGAAAAAAGUUGCAAUUCCUUGCCUCCACUGUGAGACAAACCCCAGCCACAUCUCCAGCACACAAGAACUUCCAAACGCCUGAACCGCAGCGGCCAGGUGUUCCCCCAGAACCUCCUCCCCCAGGAGCUUGCUACACGUGCCGGAAAUCUGGCCACUGGGCCAAGGAAUGCCCGCAGCCCGGGAUUCCUCCUAAGCCGCGUCCCAUCUGUGCGGGACCCCACUGGAAAUCGGACUGUUCGACUCACCUGGCAGCCACUCCCAGAGCCCCUGGAACUCUGGCCCAAGGCUCUCUGACUGACUCCUUCCCAGAUCUUCUCGGCUUAGCGGCUGAAGACUGACGCUGCCCGAUCGCCUCAGAAGCCCCCUAGACCAUCACCGACGCUGAGCUUCGGGUAACUCUCACAGUGGAAGGCAGGAAUGUCAGGCCUCUGAGCCCAAGCCAAGCCAUCGCAUCCCCUGUGACUUGCACGUACACGCCCAGAUGGCCUGAAGUAACUGAAGAAUCACAAAAGUGAAUAUGCCCUGCCCCACCUUAACUGAUGACAUUCCACCACAAAAGAAGUGUAAAUGGCCGGUCCUUGCCUUAACUGAUGACAUUACCUUGUGAAAGUCCUUUUCCCGGCUCAUCCUGGCUCAAAAAGCACCCCCACUGAGCACCUUGCGACCCCCCACUCCUGCCCGCCAGAGAACAAACCCCCUUUGACUGUAAUUUUCCUUUACCUACCCGAAUCCUAUAAAACGGCCCCACCCUUAUCUCCCUUCGCGGACUCUCUUUUCGGACUCAGCCCGCCUGCACCCAGGUGAAAUACACAGCCAUGUUGCUCACACAAAGCCUGUUUGGUGGUCUCUUCACACGGACGCACAUGAAAACGAGCAAGUGAUAGUAGGCAGUAAUUAUAAAUACUAUGAUGCGGCCGGGCACGGCGGCUCAUGCCUGUAAUCCCAGCACUUUGGGAGGCCGAGGCAGGCGGAUCACCUGAGGUCGGGACUUCAAGACCAGUUUGACAGACAUAGAGAAACCCCAUCUCUACUAAAAAUAUAAAAUUAGCCAGGCAGGGUGGUACAUGCCUGUAAUCCCAGCUACUAGGGAGGCUGAGGCAGGAGAAUCAC
rnacentral:lncRNA from 1 species